rnacentral:ncRNA from 1 species
AUAAAGUUUAAUUUUAGCUUAAUAUUUUAUUUAAUUUUUUAUUUACAUGUAAAUUUUAGUAGGAGAAAGAAAUUAAUUUAAAUAAUUAAUUUUAAAUUUUUAUUCGCAGUAUAAAGAUUUAAUAAUUUAAGAAAUUAAGAAUUAAGAAUAAAUUUAAAUAUUGACAAAAUUUGUGCCAGCAGUUGCGGUUAUACAAAAAAUGUAAAUGAAAAUUAUUGGUUAGUAAUAAAUUGAAGUUUUUUAAUAAAAGUUAAAUUUAUUAGGUGAAAUUUUAAAUUUAAAAUUGUUAUAAAAAAGGUUUAUGAAAUUAUAAAAUUUAAUUAUUAAACUAGGAUUAGAUACCCUAUUAUUUUAAAUGUAAUAAAAUAAAUCAAAGGAGUAAUAGUUAAGAUCUUUAAAUUUAAAAAUUUUGGCGGUAUUUUAGUCUAUUUAGAGGAACCUGUUCUAUAAUCGAUAAUCCACGAGUUAAAAGGCUUAAUUUAUUAGUUUGUAUAUCGUUGUUAUUAAAUAUUUUAUAAGAAUUAAAUGUUUAAGAUUUUUUAAAAGAAAAAAUUUCAAAUCAAGGUGCAGCUUAUAAUAAAGAAGAAAUGGGUUACAAUAAAUUUAUUUAAAUGGAUUUGUAUAUGAAAAAUAUAAUGAAGGUGGAUUUAAUAGUAAUAUAAUUAAUAUUAAUUAUAUGAUUUUAGCUCUGAAAUGUGUACAUAUCGCCCGUCGCUCUUAAGAUAAGGUAAGAUAAGUCGUAACAUAGUAGAUGUACUGGAAAGUGUAUCUAGAAUGAC